UACAGAGGUUUCAAGCGUUGUUCGGAUUCAUUGGGCGUAAAGGGUGCGUAGGCGGCCCGGUAAGUCGGGUGUGAAAUCUCGGAGCUUAACUCCGAAACUGCAUUCGAUACUGCCGUGCUUGAGGACUGGAGAGGAGACUGGAAUUUACGGUGUAGCGGUGAAAUGCGUAGAUAUCGUAAGGAAGACCAGUGGCGAAGGCGGGUCUCUGGACAGUUCCUGACGCUGAGGCACGAAGGUCAGGGGAGCAAACGGG
rnacentral:rRNA from 1 species